ensembl:lncRNA
AUGUACCAUAUGUACCAGAAACACUGCAGCCCACACUUGGAAAGUCUUUUCAUCAAUUGUAAACCGUUUUAUUCACCGCGGGAGUUUUCUUCCUUCAUGCUGGUCGGAGUUUACAUCCCUCCUCAGGCCAACGCAAACAACGCACUGUGCGAGCUGGCUGACCAGAUCACCACCCUGGAGAGGAAAUUCCCGGACUCCUUUACAAUUAUCCUUGGGGACUUUAACAGAGCAAACCUCAACCACGAACUCCCUAAAUACAGACAGCAUAUAGACUGCCCCACCAGGGACAACAUCAUACUGGAUCACUGUUACACCACUCUAAAAGAUGCCUAUCGCUCUGUGCCCCGGGCAGCUUUGGGACAUUCUGAUCACUGCAUGGUCCAUCUUAUUCCAGUUUAUAGGCAAAAACUCAAACGUGCCAAGCCUGUAGUCAAAACUGUGAAGAAGUGGACUAACGCAGCAAAGCAGGAACUGCAGGACUGUUUUGACUGCACUGAUUGGACUGUUUUUGAAGCUGCAUCUGAUAACCUGGAUGAGCUCACGGACACUGUGACAUCAUACAUCAGUUUUUGUGAAGACGUGUGUGUGCCAACAAAGACCUUCUGCACAUACAACAACAAUAAACCAUGGUUCACUCCUAAACUCCAACAUCUUCGUAAGGCUAAGGAGGACGCCUACAGAAGUGGUGACAGGGCCCUGUACAAGCAAGCCAGGAACACACUGACCAAGGAGAUCAAAGGAGCUAAAAGGAUCUACUCCCAGAAGCUGGAAGAACGGCUCUCACCCAACGACCCUGCGUCAGUGUGGAGGGGCCUGCAGGAAAUCACCAGCUACAGACGCCCCCCACCCACUGUUGAAGCAAACAAAGACCUGGCCAACGAGUUAAAUACAUUCUACUGCAGGUUUGAGACGGACAGACUCCCACGCCUCACCCUCCCCUCCCCAGAGACACCGCUUCAGACACUGACCCCAACACACCUUCCACCUCUCCCCCCUUCACCCUCACCCUCUCCAAUCCAGUCUCAACGACCACCCCACCCUCCCCAAUCCAGACUCACCGACCACCACCACCCUUCCCAUUUCAGACUCAACGACCACCACCACCCUCUCCAAUCCAGACUCAACGACCUCCAUCACACCUCCCACCCCCCUUUCCUCCUCCCUGAAACUCAGAAUACACACUGA